rnacentral:tRNA from 1 species
UCAGUAAAUAGUUUAAUAGAAAUAUAGGUUUUGGGAAUUUAAGAAAUGUGUAUACAUUUUACUGAU